AUUGAACGCUGGCGGCAGGCCUAACACAUGCAAGUCGAACAGUAACAGGAAGCAGCUUGCUGCUUUGCUGACGAGUGGCGGACGGGUGAGUAAUGUCUGGGAAACUGCCUGAUGGAGGGGGAUACUUACUGAAAAGGGUACCAAAACCGGCUUAACGCCGAAAGACAAAAGAGGGGAACCUUCGGGCCUCUUGCCACCGGAGGUGCCCAGAUGGGAUUAGCUAGUAGGUGGGGUAACGGCUCACCUAGGCGACGAUCCCUAGCUGGUCUGAGAGGAUGACCAGCCACACUGGAACUGAGACACGGUCCAGACUCCUACGGGAGGCAGCAGUGGGGAAUAUUGCACAAUGGGCGCAAGCCUGAUGCAGCCAUGCCGCGUGUAUGAAGAAGGCCUUCGGGUUGUAAAGUACUUUCAGCGGGGAGGAAGGGAGUAAAGUUAAUACCUUUGCUCAUUGACGUUACCCGCAGAAGAAGCACCGGCUAACUCCGUG
rnacentral:rRNA from 1 species